GAUUAACGCUAGCGGCAGGCCUAAUACAUGCAAGUCGAACGGCAGCACGGGUAGUAAUACCUGGUGGCGAGUGGCGCACGGGUGCGUAACACGUAUGCAAUCUACCUCUAACCGGGGGAUAGCCUUCGAAAGGAAGAUUAAUACCGCAUAAUAUCAUGGAGCGGCAUCGUCUUUUUGUAAUUAAAUACUACGGAGGUUAGAGAUGAGCAUGCGUCCGAUUAGCAGUUGGUAGAGUAACAGCCUACCAAGGCUACGA
rnacentral:rRNA from 1 species